AUUGAACGCUGGCGGCAGGCCUAACACAUGCAAGUCGGGCGAGAGGCGGACGGGUGAGUAAUGUAUGGGGAACUGCCUGAUGGCGGGGGAUAACUACUGGAAACGGUAGCUAAUACCGCAUACCAUCAGAUGUACCCAGAUGGGAUUAGCUGGUGGGUGGGGUAACGGCUCACCAAGGCGACGAUCCCUAGCUGGUAUGAGAGGAUGACCAGCCACACUGGGACUGAGACACGGCCCAGACUCCUACGGGAGGCAGCAGUGGGGAAUAGUGCACAAUGGGCGCAAGCCUGAUGCAGCGAUGCCGCGUGUAUGAAGAAGGCCGUCGGGUUGUAAAGUACUUUCAGUGGGGAGGCGUUACCGACAGAAGAAGCACCGGCUAACUCCGGGCCAGCAGCCGCGGUAAUUC
rnacentral:rRNA from 1 species